CCAGGCCUUGUAUAGACAUAUCUUGCAGCUGCACCUGGUUCUGCCCCCAGACAUCAAAGCCCUGGGCAACCAGUGCAUGAAGGACUAAUUUAGGAGACAUAAGACUGUUGGUUCUGACAAGGCUCAGUGUAUUUGCAGGAAUGGAAGGUGUAUGCAGCAAUGUUAUGGCAAGCAAGAUAAAACACAAAAUUCAACUGAAAAAGCAUGUUUUGGCACCUCCCUCUCAGAAGAAAAACCUAAUGACUUUGGUGAUGAACGAAUUGGAUACUUACAAGAGGUGAUACAAGAAACUACUAAAUACAAUAAGCAACUUAGUAAUACUGAGCCUACAAAACCAAAAUUUUAG
rnacentral:lncRNA from 1 species